rnacentral:lncRNA from 1 species
UUGGCAGCCUUCAAGUAGGCUUCGCUAUGGGCAGCAAGAAUUGGAGGAUGGGAACUGAGCCAAAAUGAAGUGGACAGGUUUUCUUCCCUUUUGCAUUGCACAUCUUGGACCAAACAUCCUUUAUCUUUGAAAAGUACUGAUAUGAAAUACACUCAUCACUAAUAAGGCUGAACAGAGCAAAAGAUGCAGGAUUUGUCAUGCUCCCUUUUGGCCAGCUUCUCUUCUCCAGGGCUUCACUGGAAUAUGAAGGCUGUGGCAGAACUGCUGUAAUUGGUGCACUCUUGAAAAUAUGAUGAUAUAAAUAACCAAAAUGAGCCUGAAGUGGAGGGGACGUCAGAGAUUUUUUGGUCUGCUCCUUGAGGUAUAACAUGAAACUCGGAGAUUUAACAAAAUCUUCUCUCCCACCCAUCACUGAUGGAGCCUCAGAAGUAACUGUUAAUAGCUGGAACAGUGCCUCAGCCAGCCCCUUUGGUGGCUCCAAGGGCAGGCUUUCCCUUGGUCUAGCCUGCCUUCUCUUACCUCUGCCAGCACGCCUGAUUUUAAAGUAAUCUUACAAGCUGAGGAGCUCAUGCGCGUGUCUGAACCUGGAGGAGGAAUUGCUUCAUCACUGGAGGGGAAGGAAAAGGCAUCAAGGUGCAAGGGCCGUCCCACCAACACAAGACUCCCUCCUUUGGCAGUCUCUCACACCAAACCUGCAGCCCUUCACCCACAGAGUUUGCAUAAGAGAGAAGCAAGAAUAAGAUGCUCAGCUCCCCUGUGCCCCAGGCUGGUGCCUAUCAGUGACGGUAAGGAGUCUGACUGUUCCCCCCACACGUCAGCUGGGUGCGAUGCAACCACACCUAGGCUAGCUCUCAAUGAGCUGUCUUUGCUUCUCCAGCACUGAAAAACCACAGUGGUGCCCGCGUGGUCCAACCGCUCUGAGUGUUUGCUGAGUUUCUCAGGGCUCUUUGCAUCCCACGCCGCAUUUGGUGGAGGCUAGCUAGCGAGCUAGGUAAUUUAGAGCAGGUUAUAUAUGUGUGGCUGACCCAUGAAAAGGUUUGCUUUCUCCAUGGUAUGCAAAAUCUGUGGGGCUGGCAUUAUAAUUCCGUACAAUGCCCCAUCAGCGUGGGUUUCUGGCCAGGGGGAGGCUUGUUGCUGCUGCUGUUACACAAGA